CGCGUAGGCGGACAUUUAAGUCGGGGGUGAAAGCCCGGGGCUCAACCUCGGAAUUGCCUUCGAUACUGGCUGUCUUGAGUGUGAGAGAGGUGUGUGGAACUCCGAGUGUAGAGGUGAAAUUCGUAGAUAUUCGGAAGAACACCAGUGGCGAAGGCGACACACUGGCUCACUACUGACGCUGAGGCGCGAAAGCGUGGGGAGCAAACA
rnacentral:rRNA from 1 species